AUAUUUAUGUACUUAUACAGAACUUAAUUGGUUUAUUAGAAAACACAAUACCCCUAAUGAGGGCGCUACUGGACGGUCGACGCAGUCUUAAUAUGUGUAUAAAAGCGUUUCGGUUUCGGCCGAAACUAGAGCCAAAGCCGAACCUUCGGUUUCGG